AUGAGAUUUUAAAACGCCCUGUACACUUUGAUAACAAUAGGGUUUGGUACUUGAACAUCUUCAAACACAGGAAUCUUAAAAAACUAGCUUGACCUGUUACCAGUCAUGACAGAUAUUUGCCGGAGGUCAGAAUUCAACUACAUUUGCGUGACAGUCUCAUACGGUGGGUGGACCAAAGCAGCAGUACUUAAAGUCUGAGACUUUGCAUGAGAAGAUAGUGUUAAAGAUGGAUCUCCAACAGCUCGGGUGCAGAUUCACUCUGCUGACCCUUCUGCUUUGCUCAGGCUGUCCUGCAGCGGUUGUGACUGUCACGCCAACAUCAAAGACACUGUGGCUUAUUUAGAUGUAAGACAUCCUUCUGGCAAAAGUCCCAAUACAGUGAACCAGUUGUGUUGGUUGCAGCAGUAAAGAUGAUUUCUGGUACUCCACUCGCAUUUGUCUUUACAAGCUAUCAAGUCCAGUGAAUUUUACAGUUAAUUCCCUUUGCUAACACAAGCACAGUCUAUAACGGCACUACCACCCGGGUCAGCAAUUUUUUCUGUGGACAUUGUCAGCUCCAUGAGGAAAGUUGAAGCGUCAGUCGUGGGCGAAGAGCAGUGCGAUAAUCUAACAUCCAAUCGUAAAAUCACAGAGAGAGAGAGGGAGACACGGAAUUGGAGAACUGAGCAUGUGUCAGUUGGUCCCUGGAUCCCCAGUUGUGGCUCAGGACUUCUUUUAAUGGGUUCUAUAUGGAGUUGAAGUUCAUAGUAGUAUAUUUUGUCAAAUGUCAGGGAUAUUUGCCUAUGUGUAAUUGUAUGAGGACUGGAUCCAUGAGGUGAUUACUGGCAAGAAACCAAUUUUUGCCACUGUCAAUCCCACAGACAGUACUGACAUAGGAUUACAUAAAACAGAACGUACAACUACUCAACUACUACUGGCAUGACUAACUUAACUCCUACUACUGAUAACGGAUUUAGUGGUGGUAACAACCUGAUUGACGUCUCUCACUUCUUCUCUGUCUGCUCUUGAUCUGUUUCUCCAUGUUCUCAUUGCUGGCAGUGAAAUGUAAAAGUUUCUCACAGGACUCUGUUCUUCAGGGCCACUGGGCUUUAACAGCUUGGUCUAGAAAAUGUACUACUGCUUUAAUACGUAGCUUUUUCAGUUCUAACUGCUCAUGGGGAAUUCAGAUUAAUGAAGGGCUGACUGCUUCAGAUGUUUGGUAAAGAAAUAACCCUUGUGUGUUCUCGCAGGUAAUAAGUAACCCAGUACAAUGUUUAGUUGUAGAAAGAAUCAUUUAACCUAUCAUUUCCAAACUCUUACACAAACACUCACUCACACAAUUCUACAAACACACAUUUGCCAGUCUACACAGGGAAUGUGUCUGUGGGAGGCCAAACGAGACAUAAUAAUAGUUUGUGGCACAAACUCUACUAUACUCUUACUAUGUGAGUUUGAUAGCAUGUAUGCAUGAGUUUGAUUGUGUGUGUGCGUAAAAGGUUAAUAGUAUGUUUGGAGUGUUUGGAAAUUACUAUGAUAGUAUGUAUGUUAGAGUAUAGAUGAGUUUGUGCGACAAAUAAUAAAUUAUGUCUUAAAUGGCCUCUCAUAUAUUGCACAAGUACACAACUUUAAUGGUCAUUAACAAACACUAUUAUAAUCUUUUUAGACAAAUACCAUCAAACACUUGCAGAAAAAUACUAUCAAAGCCCUCACACAACUACUAUCAAACUCAUUAACAUAUUAAACUUAUACACACAUACCAUUAAACUCUCAAACACAUACCACCAAAUUUUGCAUACUAUUAAACUCAUGCACACAAACUAUGAAACUCAUACACACAUUAAACUCACAAACAAAUACCAUCCAACUCUUGUACACAUAACAUCAAACUCAUAGGCAUCAAACAAUCUCAAACGUACUAUCAAAUUUAUACACAUAUAACAUUUAACUGUUAAACACAUACCACCAAACUCUACAUACUAUUUAACUCAUUAACAUAUAGUAAAAAACAUAAACACACAUGCUAUCAAAGUCAUAUACACACAGCACCAAACUCAAAAACACAUAUUAACAAACUUAUGCUAUCAUAUCCAUACAUACACAGUAACAAACUAAUUCACACCAACCAUCAAACUUUCAAAUAUAUACUGCCAAACUACAUACUGUCAAACUCAUAACCACAUAAAAUCAAACUUAUAAAAACAUAUCAUCAAACUGAAUCACAAAUAUUUUUUAAAUCUUAUACUAGACUACAGUAAAACUCUUACAAACAUAUUAUCAAACACCUAAACAGCUACUUUCCAACUCAUGCAAACAUACUUUCAAACUCAAACACAAACUAUCAAACUCGUAUACACUUACAUCAAACUCAAUACACACAUACCAUCAAACUCUUAAACAUGUACUAACAAAAGUAUAUAAUACACCAUCAAACUCACACACAAAUUCAAACACGCACACACAUUAUCAAACUCAUAAACACAGCAUCAAACUGAAAUGGAAAUACUGUCAAACUCUUAAACAAAGCUACUAACCAACGCUAACAAAGCUGUAAUCCAACAGACACACAUACUGCCAAAUGUAUACACACAUAAUAUCAAACUCAUAUACGUACUCUGAAACUCACACACACCAUCAAACUCAUAUACUCGUACCAUAAAAAUGAAACACAAAUACUAGCAAACUUACACAAAGCUACUAUCCAACUCUUAACAUACUAUCAAACUUUUAAAAGGAACUGAAACCUAUACACACAUAUUAUUUCAUCAAACGCUCAAACACAUACAGUCAAACUCUCAAACAUAUACCCCUAAACAUAUGCAUACAUACCAUUCAAAUCAUACAUACAUACCAUCAAACUGAAACAUAUCAAAUUCUUACACAACGCUACGAUCCAACUCAUACAAACACAGUAUCAAACACAUACUAUUAAUCUCUUACUCAUAUACCAUCAAACACAACUACUAUCAAACUCCUGCAAAGCUAUUAUCCAUCUAAUUAAGCAUACAUUCAAACUUAUACUGACAUAUUAUGAACUCUUACACAUAUACCAUUAAACUGAAACUGAAACACACCACCAAACUUUGCAUACUAUAAAAGUCAGACACACAUACUACCAAACCUAUACAUAAAUACUAUAAGAAUCAUACACAUAUACUAUCAAACUAAUGCACACACCAUCAAACUCAAACUCUCACACACAUACAAAACAGACAGAUAUGCCCUCAAACUGAAACACUAAAAGCUAGAAUCCAACUCUUGCGAACAUAUUAUCAAACUCUUCAACACCAUUUAUGAAACCUGUUCACAAAUACUAUCAAACUCAUACACACAUACUAUCAAACUUAAACAGACAUACUACCAAACUCUUACACACAUAUAAACAAAAGUAUACAAACAUAAUUUCAAACUCAUUCACACAUACUAUCAAACUUUUACACAAAUAAUAAUAACAAAUGUAUACACACAUACUAUCACACUCUUACACCCACAAUAACAAACGUAUACACACAUACUUUCAAAACCAAUACACACAUAUUAUCAAACCAAUACAAAAACUAUCAAACUAGACACACACACUAUCACACCUAUAUACACAUACUAUCAAAGUUAUACACACAAAUUAAGCAAAUUCAUACACACGCAUUGUAUCAAACUCUUACACACCUAGUAACAAACAUAUACAAACACACUAUCAAACUUACAAACAUAUACUCUCAAACUCAUACACGUUUACUUAGAAGCUUCAAAUCACAUACGAUCAAACUCUUAAACAAAUAGUAACAAACUCAUCGCAAAUACUUUCAAAUGUAUAAGCAUACUCUAUCAAACUUAUGCAUACACUCUAUCAAACUUAUACACACGCACUAUCAAACCUAUAUACACGUAUUAUCAAACUCAUACACACAUACUAUCAAACUUUUACACAAAUAAUAAUAACAAAUGUAUACACACAUACUAUCACACUCUUACACCCACAAUAACAAACGUAUACACACAUACUUUCAAAACCAAUAUACACAUACUAUCAAAGUUAUACACACAAAUUAAGCAAAUUCAUACACACAUUGUAUCAAACUCUUACACACCUAGUAACAAGCAUAUACAAACACACUAUCAAACUUACAUACAUAUACUCUCAAACUCAUACACGUUUACUUAGAAGCUUCAAAUCACAUACGAUCAAACUCCUAAACAAAUAGUAACAAACUCAUCGCAAAUACUUUUAAAUGUAUAAGCAUACACUAUCAAACUUAUACGCACGUACUAUCAAACUUAUACGCACGUACUAUCAAACUUAUACACACGUACUAUCAAACUUAUACACACGUACUAUCAAACUUAUAUACACGUAUUAUCAAACUCAUACACACAUUAUCAAACAGACACAUACAAUCAAACUUAUACACACAUAUUAUCAAACUUAUACACGCAUACUAUCAAACUCCUAAACAAAUGGUAGCAAACUUAUCACAAAUAAGUCUUUCAAAUUCAUACACACAUAUUUAUACACGCAUAGCAUCAAACUUACAAACACGUACUAUCAAACUUAUACGCACGAACUAUCAAACUUAUACACACAUUAUCAAACAUACACAUACAAUCAAACUUAUACACACGUAUUAUCAAACUCAUGCAUACAUACUAUCAAACUUAUACACACGUAUUAUCAAACUUAUACACACAUUAUCAAACAUACACAUACAAUCAAACUUAUACACACAUAUUAUCAAACUCAUGCAUACAUACUAUCAAACUCAUGCAUACACUAUCAAACUCAUACAUACAUACUAUCUAACUUAAACACUAAUACUAUCAAACUCAUGCAUACACUAUCAAACUCAAACACACAUACUAUCUAACUUAUACACAGGUACUAUCUAACUUAUACACACAUACUAUCUAACUUAUACACAGGUACUAUCUAACUUAUACACUCAUACUAUCAAACUUAUACACACAUACUAUCAAACUCAUGCAUACACCAUCAAACGUAUACACACUUACUAUCAAACUUAUACACACAUAUGAUCAAACUCAUACACACAUUAUCAAAAAUACACACAUACAAUCAUACAAUCAAACUUAUACACACAUAUUAUCAAACUUAUACACAAAUACUAUCAAACUCUUAAACAAAUAGUAGCAAACUUUUAACAAAUAAGUCUUUCAAAUUCAUACACACAUAUUUAUAACCACAUACAAUCAAACUUUUAUCCACAUACCAUCAAACUCUUACACAUAUAGUAAAAAACUUAUCACACAUAUUUUCAAACUCAUACACAUACUAUCAAACGUAUACACAUAUAAUAUCAAACUUAUGCAGACAUACUAUCAAACUCUUACACACAUAGUAACAAACGAAUACAUACGUACUAUUAAACUCUUGCAUACAUAGUUAACAAUCUUAACACACACACACUUUCAAACUCAUAUGCAUACACUAUCAAACUCAUACACACAUAGUAUCAAACUC